AUUGAACGCUGGCGGCAGGCCUAACACAUGCAAGUCGAGCGGAGCGGCGGACGGGCGAGUAAUGCCUAGGACUCUGCCUGGUAGUGGGGGAUAACGACCGGAAACGGGAGCUCAUACCGCAUACUAUCAGAUGAGCCUAGGUCGGAUUAGCUAGCUGGUGGGGUAAAGGCCUAUCAAGGCGACGAUCCGUAACUGGUCUGAGAGGAGGAUCAGUCACACUGGAACUGAGACACGGUCCAGACUCCUACGGGAGGCAGCAGUGGUGAAUAUUUGACAAUUGGCGAAAGCCUGAUCCAGCCAUGCCGCGUGUGUGCAGAAGGUCUUCGGAUUGUAAAGCACUUUAAGUUGGGAGGCGUUACCAACAGAAUAAGCACCGGCUAACUUCGUGCCAGCCGCCGCGGUAAUAC
rnacentral:rRNA from 1 species